UAAAUCGCUAUAUGUAGCAGCAUUUGGAUGGUGCUGUGUUGCUCGGCUCUUUCGGAAUAUAAUCCCCCCCCGGUCGCUGCAAGGAAGAUUGCAGUUUUUGACGGUGAGCUCCCAGCGAACACUCGGCCACAUUCCUCCCUUGUCCUAAGCCCCUCGGUCUGCUGAUAAGGUGGGUUCUGCACUACGACUGGUCGAAUUGGCACUCAGUUUAGCGUGGAUGCAAGACGCGGCUGUCUGGGCUGGCUGAUUGUGGGUGAUCUGUCUCGUUACGCCUGCAUGUCCGUGUGCUUUGAGGGGGGAAGUUUGUGUCUGCGUCUCGGAUCAUUUUAUUGUUUGUUUUGUUUGUGACCAACUGUGUUCGUCUCGUAAAUACAAUUAAGCUGCAUCAGCAUCACCCUUAGUGGCUGUAUAUCGCCACAGCUGGGGAUCGGUCGGGCCCACUGGUGGUUGGGUACUCUUUGCUCCCUCGUAUUGGUCACCUGCAUGCUUAGUGUGUUUCCCUAUAGCGUGUUUGUGUACACUCUUAACUGCGUGUUUGCACCACCCUUUGCUGUGAGUGUGGCUAUCAGCGUGUGCGUGUGUGUGACUAUUUUUGCACAGGUAAAUUGGUGUCUCUUCUGGGUGCUUUCCCUCCCUCCAGUGGCCCACCUGACAUACUUUCCCAGCUGGUACAGUAUUUCUUGUCCCUUUUUUACACAAGAUACAUGCAUAUUUAUAUUGGACUGUAAACUGUUGUGAUUGUGCUUGAUUGUAAACUACCUAUUUAAUGAACUAAAUUUAGUGACCUCUAAUAAAAUACAUAUAUAUUUUACUAACUAUUUCCCUUCCAGCAGUUGAUUUGCCUCCAAAAACAUUAAUAAAACUUUGCAUGAACUUGAGAAUUGGGUCUCUGCUCUCUCUGUCCAUAUAAGAACUUGUGUUUUAAGGUGUUAUAAUUGA